UCAGAUGCUAUCUCUAUUUCUGACAGGAAGGGAGGGUGAUCAGGACCAAGUAGGCAAGUUUCCUAAAAUUUCUUACUAAUGAGGUCACACCCCCGCUUUGAAAGUCCAUCUCAAGGGCACAUCUCUCAGACAUCGCAGAUGAUAAAUGCAGUUACAGGAAGUUGCAUUUCCAGAAUAACCAGCUACAUGAAAACUCUCCACUACUGAACGGAACAGCAUCUUCAGCUUAUCUGUGGAGCAUAACUCAUCGUUUGCUGAAGCUCAACGAUGUAAGCUUCCAAUUCCAGCCACCUUGUCUCUUUCUCUUGCCUGCUGCCCUCCAGUCCUUGCCAUGGAUUUUAACCUGCUGGAAUGUGGAAAUCCAUGAUGCUUGAGUAAUGCACGUUCAAGGGAAGGAGGAUAAAUGAAGUCUUCAGACAAAGGGGCCUAAGUGAAAAGCUACUGAUCACCCUGUGUUCAGAGAAGCAAAGCAAAUCACUACCGUGAAAAUCCUCCAGUCAUUUCCAGUCCACACAGAAAAA